AUUGAACGCUGGCGGCAGGCUUAACACAUGCAAGUCGAACGAGUGGCGGACGGGAGAGUAAUGCAUGGGAAUGUAGCUUAUGGAGGGGGAUAACUACGGGAAACUGUAGCUAAUACCGCGUACCAUAGGAUGAGCCGAAGUGGGAUUAGGUAGUUGGGGGGGGAAAGGCUGACCAAGCCGACGAUCUCUAGCUGGUCUGAGAGGAUUAUCAGCCACACUGGAACUGAGACACGGCCCAGACUCCUACGGGAGGCAGCAGUGGGGAAUAUUGGGCAAUGGGGGAAACCUGACGCAGCCAUGCCGCGUGAAUGAAGAAGGCCUUCGGGUUGUAAAGUUCUUUCGGUUGCGAGGCGUUACCUACAGAAGAAGCACCGGCUAACUCCGUGCCAGCAGCCGCGGUAAUUC
rnacentral:rRNA from 1 species